ensembl:lincRNA
CGCUCCUGAGCUCCCGGGGUAUUAAAUUAAAUCGCCAAAAGUUGUACGAGCGUAAACGUGGUCCUAUUCCAGUGGGUGACUCAACUUUUAUCACUGCUUAGAGCGAAAUCGGAAUAUCUCAAAGAUAAUUUUGACACUGGUUCUAUAAGAAGAAGAAUAAAUCUCUCGCCAUCCCCAAAUGCAGCUCUUGCAACGCCGGCUGGCCCAGGCUGCGUCAGACCCCUGGAAUCUGGUGGUGACAUUGUAAUUGCUUUCCUCGGUCUCAUGGAGCUGCCACAGCUGUCAGAGGAGAGUUACUAAUGAGAACCCCGGGAGAGGCACGCAGCGCCGUACUCCAGGAACACCCCAGCGGGAUGGAGGUCUGCAAAUUCAUCCUUCUCCUUGCCCUGUGUUUUAUUCUCCCCUCUGCGUCUCCUCCACCCCUGAAUAAGAAGCCGGGGUGCCUCAAGGUGAGCCACUGCAAGUGUCUCCUGAAGGACGGCUCGGGCGUCAUUAACCUGGCGGCGCUGGGCGGCUCGGCCGGGCUCCCGCAGCGCUACAGAGCCGAGCCGGCGGGGGCGGACGAGGUGCUGGUGUCGUUCAGCCCCUGCUCGCCCUUCUCCGAGCCCGCUGAGGUUCCCGGCACCCAGUGCCUGGAGGUGGCCGCCUGCGUGGUCGUGAGACACCACACAAGCAGCGGCGGCGUCGAGAGUCGCUACUUCAACUACGGGCAACACGAAGGGAAUGAAUUCAGAUACGACAACCAAUCUCGGACCCUUUCAGUUACAUACCCAGCCUGUGGAGCACAACCGCGCCCUGGAGAUCUUCAUCCGGAGCCCCUGUGCCUGCCCCAACUCCUGCAACCUGGAGGACGUAGGGCCGAUGACCAUCUUCCUCAUCGUCCUCUGCCUCGGCACUGCUGCGUACUUCAUACUGGGUUCCUGCGCGCUGCGGCCCUUCAGGAGCACGCAGGGGGUGCAGAUCAGGCCCGAGGAGAGCCUGUGGUGCGUCCUGUGCUACCAGUUCACAGAGGAGAGAGGGAGGAGGCUGGGCCGGAGCCAGUGCAUCAAGGAGGAGACCCUCUGAAGCGGAGAACUUCGCAAGCCCUGUCUUGCAAUGUGGAGCGCUGCCCCCUGUCCUUAUCUCCAAGACACUUCAACACAUAGCCUCUAUCAGCCACAGGAAAGGCCAAUUACAUAGGGGGUGUUUAUAGAGGUAGUUAGAGAUAGCUUUCCCACCCAUGGGAAAAACUACACUAUGGAUCGAUGCAUGUUUGAGCACAUCCAAAAGAACCUGCUGCCCACCACAGUACCCAGUCGGCUGGCAUCCUGGAAGACUACCAGGAGAGGAAUGAUGGUCAAACUAAUAUGGGUCCCAACUUUGUCUGUGGAACCUUGUUCCUCACGGUUCCUGUCACCUUCAGAUCAUCCUUAACCCCCUCUGUGCUGGGAUCAUAGCCUGGGCUUUUCUCCACUAGGUGAUUGCUGGAGGUCAGUUCCUCAUUAACACCAGGAGAGGUCCUCCAGCUGACCUCUGCAUAGAUAAUGAGAUCCAAGACCAGAGGAGACGCAUGGCGAGCCGCAGCCUUGCAAAAGCUCUCGCAUGAACUGGAUUUUUUUUUUUUUACUCCAAAUUUGUUAAGUUUUUCUUUCCAUCCUAUUUUGGGUUUGUUUCUUUUAUAGUUGUCAGUUAGGCUACAGCCAGGAGUUAGCCAGGUCCCAUUAAUACUUUCCUUUUCUGUUUGCUAUAUUUUCAGGUCUACAGCUGGUUAGUUUUAUUUUCUUCAUCACGGGACCCACCAGUUUCUGGACUUGUUAUUUUUUCAGUUACCCAACUAACACUGUACCUGCUGUUAUGGAAUAAACAAGUGCCGGUUUUGUACAACUGCAGCUGAUUAUUAGCCACAAUGGGCACUUCGC